rnacentral:rRNA from 1 species
GCGAGCCCACCUCCCACCCGUGUUUACUGUACCUUAGUUGCUUCGGCGGGCCCGCCAUUCAUGGCCGCCGGGGGCUCUCAGCCCCGGGCCCGCGCCCGCCGGAGACACCACGAACUCUGUCUGAUCUAGUGAAGUCUGAGUUGAUUGUAUCGCAAUCAGUUAAAACUUUCAACAAUGGAUCUCUUGGUUCCGGCAUCGAUGAAGAACGCAGCGAAAUGCGAUAACUAGUGUGAAUUGCAGAAUUCCGUGAAUCAUCGAGUCUUUGAACGCACAUUGCGCCCCCUGGUAUUCCGGGGGGCAUGCCUGUCCGAGCGUCAUUGCUGCCCAUCAAGCACGGCUUGUGUGUUGGGUCGUCGUCCCCUCUCCGGGGGGGACGGGCCCCAAAGGCAGCGGCGGCACCGCGUCCGAUCCUCGAGCGUAUGGGGCUUUGUCACCCGCUCUGUAGGCCCGGCCGGCGCUUGCCGAACGCAAAUCAAUCUUUUUCCAGGUUGACCUCGGAUCAGGUAGGGAUACCCGCUGAACUUAAGCAUAUCAAUAGGCCGGAGGA